rnacentral:rRNA from 1 species
AUUGAACGCUGGCGGAAUGCUUUACACAUGCAAGUCGAACGGUAGAGGGGGCAACCCCUCGAGAGUGGCGAACGGGUGAGUAAUAUAUCGGAACGUGCCCAGUCGUGGGGGAUAACGUAGCGAAAGUUACGCUAAUACCGCAUACGAUCUAAGGAUGAAAGCGGGGGAUCGCAAGACCUCGCGCGAUUGGAGCGGCCGAUAUCAGAUUAGGUAGUUGGUGGGGUAAAGGCUCACCAAGCCAACGAUCUGUAGCUGGUCUGAGAGGACGACCAGCCACACUGGAACUGAGACACGGUCAAGACUCCUACGGGAGGCAGCAGUGGGGAAUUUUGGACAAUGGACGCAUGUCUGAUCCAGCCAUUCCGCGUGCAGGAUGAAGGCCCUCGGGUUGUAAACUGCUUUUGUACGGAACGAAAAGGUCUCUCUUAAUACGGGGGACUCAUGACGGUACCGUAAGAAUAAGCACCGGCUAACUACGUGCCAGCCGCCGCCGUAA